GGGGAAUCUUGCACAAUGGGGGAAACCCUGAUGCAGCGACGCCGCGUGAGCGAUGAAGCCCUUCGGGGUGUAAAGCUCUUUCGGCAGGAACGAUAAUGACGGUACCUGCAGAAGAAGCUGCGGCUAACUACGUGCCAGCAGCCGCGGUAAUACGUAGGCAGCAAGCGUUGUUCGGAAUUACUGGGCGUAAAGAGUGUGUAGGUGGUGUCGUAAGUUUGGUGUGAAAUCUCCCGGCUUAACUGGGAGGGUGCGCCGAAGACUGCGAUGCUCGAGUAUGGGAGAGGAAAGCGGAAUUCCUGGUGUAGCGGUGAAAUGCGUAGAUAUCAGGAGGAACACCUGCGGUGUAGACGGCUUUCUGGACCAUUACUGACACUGAGACACGAAAGCGUGGGUAGCAAAC
rnacentral:rRNA from 1 species